rnacentral:sRNA from 1 species
ACUAGGGACAGAGGGCCUCAUAACAGUAAGCCUCAGGCUCUUGAAGGCCCUGGUCAAGCAAUGGUAGGAGGCCUCCAUAUUUUACCCACCCUUAGGCCAGGGAAAAAGACUUCUCCAGGGUUGCUUUAUUAGUUUGCUAGGGCUGUAAUAACAACAACAGCAAUGAAAUCACAUUCUGGGCGGCUGAAACAAUGGAAAUUUAUUUCCUUAUGUUAUGAAGGUGAUGCCAUGGUCAUGGAUGAAAAGGUCAAGGAAAGCUUUGUGCUGGACACGGCUUCUGCCAUCUGCAACUACAAUGCCCGCUACAAGGAUCACCCCAAAUACUGGUGCCGAGGCUAUUUCCGUGACUACUGCAACAUCAUCGCCUUCUCCCCUAACAGCACCAACCAUGUGGCCCUGAGGGACACAGGGAACGAGCUCAUUGUCACUAUGUCCUGCCUGACCAAAGAGGACACGGGCUGGUACUGGUGUGGCAUCCAGCGGGACUUUGCCAGGGAUGAGAUGGAUUUUACAGAGCUGAUUGUAACUGACAACAAAGGAACCCUGGCCAAUGACUUUUGGUCUGGGAAAGACCUAUCAGGCAAC